rnacentral:lncRNA from 1 species
AUUAAUGGGAAGCACUGGGUUUUGGAGAAGAGUUCUUGGAGUCGACUCCGGAGGAUGUGAAAUUGUGAAAUGAUGCAGUGUUGGUUUAGGCUUUAUCUUAUUGAGAUUGAUUCGACCUGCAUAUAUUAGACUCGACCAAAAUAAUUAAUAAUAAUAAAAAGAAUCAAACUUGAAUUAUUUCUAACACUUUAUUAAAAUGCACUGAUGAAAGGGAACAUAUUUUCUUAUUUUUAAAUUUAAAAUAUAUGCAUUAAAAUGAUGAUAAGUGGUAUGAGAAAGGGGUUAAUUUAUGCAUUAUUUAGCACUUAUCACAUCCCCCAAUCUAUAUUUUGCUAGUCCUUGAGCAGAAAUCGCGAUUGCAUUUACCGUAUGCAAUAAGGCUUUAAACCCCUAGGUGGCCCUAGUGGACGAGUUUUAUCUCGUGAGGGU